rnacentral:rRNA from 1 species
UGGCAGGUACAGAGGGAUGCUACCGGACGACCGGAUGCGGAUCUCGAAAGCCUGUCCCAGUUCGGACUGGAGUCUGCAACCCGACUCCACGAAGUUGGAUUCGCUAGUAAUCGCGCAUCAGCCAUGGCGCGGUGAAUACGUUCCCGGGCCUUGUACACACCGCCCGUCAAGCCCUGGGAGCCGGGGGCGCCUGAAGUCCGGGACCGCGAGGACCGGCCUAGGGCGAAACUGGUAACUGGGGCUAAGUCGUAACAAGGUACC